rnacentral:rRNA from 1 species
UCUAACCUUUUACUAUCGGGAUAGCCCANAAGAAAUUUGGAUUAAUACCAUAUAGUAUAUUUGAAUGGCAUCGUUUGAAUAUUAAAGAUUUAUCGGUAAAAGAUGAGCAUGCGUCCCAUUAGUUAGUUGGUGUGGCAACGGCAUACCAAGACGAUGAUGGGUAGGGGUCCUGAGAGGGAGAUCCCCCACACUGGUACUGAGACACGGACCAGACUCCUACGGGAGGCANCAGUGAGGAAUAUUGGUCAAUGGAGGCAACUCUGAACCAGCCAUGCCGCGUGCAGGAUGACGGUCCUAUGGAUUGUAAACUGCUUUUGUACGGGAAGAAAACAAACUACGAGUAGUUAAUUGACGGUACCGUAAGAAUAANGAUCGGCUAACUCCGUGCCAGCAGCCGCGGUAAUACCGGAGGAUCCAGNCGNUUAUCCGGAAUCAUUGGGGUUUNAAGGGGNCCGUANGCGGNCCUUAUUAAGUCAGUGGUGAAAGUUUUUGGCUUACCAAAAAUUGCCAUUGAUACUGUAAGGCUUGAAUAUCUGUGAAGUAACUAGAAUAUGUAGUGUAGCGGUGAAAUGCUUANAUAUUACAUGGAAUACCGAUUGCGAAGGCAGGUUACUAACAGAUGAUUGACGCUGAUGGACGAAAGCGUGGGUAGCGAACAGGAUUAGAUACCCUGGUAGUCCACGCCGUAAACGAUGGAUACUAGCUGUUUGGUUUUCGGACUGAGUGGCUAAGCGAAAGUGAUAAGUAUCCCACCUGGGGAGUACGGUCGCAAGACUGAAACUCAAAGGAAUUGACGGGGGCCCGCACAAGCGGUGGAGCAUGUGGUUUAAUUCGAUGAUACGCGAGGAACCUUACCAGGGCUUAAAUGUAGAUUGACAGAUUUGGAAACAGAUUUUUCUUCGGGACAAUUUACAAGGUGCUGCAUGGUUGUCGUCAGCUCGUGCCGUGAGGUGUCAGGUUAAGUCCUAUAACGAGCGCAACCCCUGUUGUUAGUUGCCAGCACGUAAUGGUGGGAACUCUAGCAAGACUGCCAGUGUAAACUGUGAGGAAGGUGGGGAUGACG